UUCAGGGACAGUGCAGAUUGUGGGAAACAGUACAGUGAAUGAAAAGUUUUGUCUAUAAGCUCUAUUUAACUGGAAUAUAUUUGCUGUUAUGUAAAAUGAAUAUGCUGCCACCUGCAGUUAUGGGUUUCAUCCCAUGGUACACUGUUUCUGUCUACUAUAACAAAGCUUCUGGAAUGAAGACUGAAAAUUAAUGUCACUUGACAUGUAGAAACAUGAUCCUUUUUGGCAUGAUUAUAGGAGAUUUGGCACGCUGAAACAUCCAAAAGGUGCAGUAUCAAAUAACCAGUGAAGAGGGAGAGAGAGAGGAGGGAUGUCUGAGAAGGCCAGACCUACCAUCUUAACUUCCACAACAAUCGUGAGAAACAAACUUCACGCAGCACCCGUUAGGGGUCACCACAGUGAAUCAUUGGUCCACAUAUUUGAUUUGGCAAAGUUUUACGCCGGAUGCCCUUGCUGACGCAACUCUUCCCAAUUUUAUCUUUUAUCUGGGCUUGGGACCGGCACUGGGAGUGCCCUGUCAUCUGCAACCCCAGUGGCUGGGAUCGGUUCCCUGGUCGGGAAUUGAACCCAGGCCAUGGAGAUUUACAACACAUCCGUUGUCCAAAGAACAAUGCGGCUGCUUAACUGAGUGCGGUGACGUUACCUGAGUUAAGAUGAAACAGAGCUCCUGGUUGGACAGCAAAUGGUACUUAUUAUGAGCUAAUAGGAAGAGCAACAUGGGUAGAUUUUCCGAGCGGGAAACUGCAAGAACAUGGAAAAAUGAAAUAAAAAAAUAGUGCAGUCAUGUGAACGCAAAAAUAUACAAUUUUUUUCUGUAAAGAUUAUGUAAAGUGAAGUUCCUUUUGAAUCCUUAGCCUGCAUUAAAUUUCCUAUUCCUA